UCUGCUGUAUGAAAUAGGUGGUGUUUC
rnacentral:piRNA from 1 species